GUCAUCCUGUGGAGAACCAUGUUAAAAUAAGACGAUUGCCACAGUACCCACAAAAGACAAGAGCUUUCGAAUGGAUCCCAAUCCUAUUAAUCUCUACAUUCCCUGAACGGCUGGUUUUUCUGUUUAUUCGUGAACUCCUGGCUGUAUAUCUCGGGUAGUGCAUUUUUUCACCUGUCGUAUUAUUGUCCGAAGGAAAAUUCCCAGAUGAAGUCGCGAGGUCCAGGAUGGGUCAAGAGGUGUUUACAGUCUUUAAAGAUUACUGAAGGAACGUCCAGAAGACUCAAGUAACCUGGCUCAUCGGGAAAAACAAACAAAGCACCACCAAAAUUAAAGGCAAUGUAAAUUAUAUUUACUAAACACCUACCAGGCAGUAUCAAAAAGAAUUUGUUAAAUAAUUAAGAAAACGCAGAGACGGCUGACGCGCACGGCUCGUUGGUCUAGGGGUAUGAUUCUCGCUUAGGGUGCGAGAGGUCCCGGGUUCAAAUCCCGGACGAGCCCAGUUUUUGCCUUCCUGUCACUGGAAGUUUAAAUUUAGCCGUACCCUAAAUGGUGUCAAGAUCACACUCUCUUUUGCAAGUGUUCUUUCCAUGCGCUGUUUUCCGCGUUAUAUCUUGAAAUCUCUUCUAAUUAAAACCAGUUGCUUUCAGA